GAUGAACGCUAGCGGCAGGCCUAAUACAUGCAAGACGAACGGUAAGUUGAGUAGCAAUACUUAGCCAAGAGUGUCGUACGGGUGCGUAACACGUAUGCAACCUACCCUAUACAGGAGGAUAGCCUAGGGAAACCUGGAUUAACCCUUCAUAGUAUUAUUGGAUGGCAUCAUUUGAUAAUUAAAACUGAGGUGGUAUAGGAUGGGCAUGCGUCUGAUUAGUUAGUUGGCGGGGUAAUGGCCCACCAAGACGAUGAUCAGUAGGGGUUCUGAGAGGAAGAUCCCCCACACUGGCACUGAGAUACGGGCCAGACUCCUACGGGAGGCAGCAGUGGGGAAUAUUGCGCAAUGGGCGAAAGCCUGACGCAGCGACGCCGCGUGGGUGAUGAAGGCC
rnacentral:rRNA from 1 species